rnacentral:rRNA from 1 species
AACGAACGCUGGCGGCAUGCCUAACACAUGCAAGUCGAACGAGACCUUCGGGUCUAGUGGCGCACGGGUGCGUAACGCGUGGGAAUCUGCCCUUGGGUGCGGAAUAACAGUUAGAAAUGACUGCUAAUACCGCAUAAUGACUCCGGUCCAAAGAUUUAUCGCCCAGGGAUGAGCCCGCGUCGGAUUAGCUAGUUGGUAGGGUAAAAGCCUACCAAGGCAACGAUCCGUAGCUGGUCUGAGAGGAUGAUCAGCCACACUGGGACUGAGACACGACCCAGACUCCUACGGGAGGCAGCAGUGGGGAAUAUUGGACAAUGGGCGAAAGCCUGAUCCAGCAAUGCCGCGUGAGUGAUGAAGGCCUUAGGGUUGUAAAGCUCUUUUACCCGGGAUGAUAAUGACAGUACCGGGAGAAUAAGCCCCGGCUAACUCCGUGCCAGCAGCCGCGGUAACAC